rnacentral:rRNA from 1 species
UGGGGAAUAUUGGACAAUGGGCGGAAGCCUGAUCCAGCAACGCCGCGUGAGGGAUGACGGCCUUCGGGUUGUAAACCUCUUUCAGUACCGACGAAGCGAAAGUGACGGUAGGUACAGAAGAAGGACCGGCCAACUACGUGCCAGCAGCCGCGGUAAUACGUAGGGUCCGAGCGUUGUCCGGAAUUAUUGGGCGUAAAGGGCUCGUAGGCGGUUUGUCGCGUCGGGAGUGAAAACAGCGGGCUUAACUCGUUGCUUGCUUUCGAUACGGGCAGACUAGAGGUAUGCAGGGGAGAAUGGAAUUCCUGGUGUAGCGGUGAAAUGCGCAGAUAUCAGGAGGAACACCGGUGGCGAAGGCGGUUCUCUGGGCAUUACCUGACGCUGAGGAGCGAAAGUGUGGGGAGCGAACAGGAUUAGAUACCCUGGUAGUCCACACCGUAAACGUUGGGCGCUAGGUGUGGGGUCCUUUCCACGGAUUCCGUGCCGUAGCUAACGCAUUAAGCGCCCCGCCUGGGGAGUACGGCCGCAAGGCUCAAAACU